rnacentral:rRNA from 1 species
GACGAACGCUGGCGGCGUGCUUAACACAUGCAAGUCGAACGGAAAGGCCCUGCUUUUGUGGGGUGCUCGAGUGGCGAACGGGUGAGUAACACGUGAGUAACCUGCCCUUGACUUUGGGAUAACUUCAGGAAACUGGGGCUAAUACCGGAUAGGAGCUCCUGCUGCAUGGUGGGGGUUGGAAAGUUUCGGCGGUGGGGGAUGGACUCGCGGCUUAUCAGCUUGUUGGUGGGGUAGUGGCUUACCAAGGCUUUGACGGAUCGCCGGCCUGAGAGGGUGACCGGCCACAUUGGGACUGAGAUACGGCCCAGACUCCUACGGGAGGCAGCAGUGGGGAAUAUUGCACAAUGGGCGGAAGCCUGAUGCAGCAACGCCGCGUGCGGGAUGACGGCCUUCGGGUUGUAAACCGCUUUCGCCUGUGACGAAGCGUGAGUGACGGUAAUGGGUAAAGAAGCACCGGCUAACUACGUG